GACGAACGCUGGCGGCGUGCCUAAUACAUGCAAGUCGAACGCUGAAGGAGGAGCUUGCUUCUCCGGAUGAGUUGCGAACGGGUGAGUAACGCGUAGGUAACCUGCCUGGUAGCGGGGGAUAACUAUUGGAAACGAUAGCUAAUACCGCAUAACAGUAGAUGUUGCAUGACAUUUGCUUAAAAGGUGCAAUUGCAUCACUACCAGACGGCCCUGCGUUGUAUUAGCUAGUUGGUGAGGUAACGGCGCACCAAGGGGACGAUACAUAGCCGACCUGAGAGGGGGAUCGGCCACACUGAGAGUGAGACACGGCCCAGACGCCUUCAGGAGGCAGCAGUAGGGAAUCUUCGGCCAUGGGCGGAAGUCUGACCGAGAAAGGCCGCGGGAGGGAAGAAGGUUGUCGGAUCGUAAAGCUCGGUUGUAAGGGAACAACGAGUGUGAGAGUGGAAAGUUCACACUGUGACGGUAGCUUAACAGAAAGGGACGGCUAACUACGUG
rnacentral:rRNA from 1 species